rnacentral:rRNA from 1 species
AUACGUAGGGGGCAAGCGUUGUCCGGAAUCACUGGGCGUAAAGGGCGCGUAGGCGGCUUAUCGAGUCAGGCGUGAAAUUCCCGGGCUCAACCUGGGGGCUGCGCUUGAUACUGAUGAGCUUGAAUGCGGGAGAGGAUAGUGGAAUUCCCAGUGUAGAGGUGAAAUUCGUAGAUAUUGGGAAGAACACCGGUGGCGAAGGCGGCUAUCUGGCCCGUAAUUGACGCUGAGGCGCGAAAGCGUGGGGAGCAAACAGGA